UUAUGAUGAUUUCCUUAGAUGACGAGUCUUAUUUGGGUUUCCAAUGCAGACACAAUCUUUUUCAUACCAUUCAUGCAUACCUGAUC
rnacentral:snoRNA from 1 species